rnacentral:pre_miRNA from 1 species
UCUUUACUCCCUCCAUUCCAAAAUACUUGACUUCCAUUUGUCCAAAAAUGGAUGUACCUAUAUACUAAGACAUGUCUAGAUACAUAUAUAUUUUGACAAAUAGAAGGCAUGUAUUGUGCAACGGAGGGAGUAGAAU